rnacentral:rRNA from 1 species
GACGAACGCUGGCGGCGUGCUUAACACAUGCAAGUCGAACGGAAAGGCCCUGCUUUUGUGGGGUGCUCGAGUGGCGAACGGGUGAGUAACACGUGAGUAACCUGCCCUUGACUUUGGGAUAACUUCAGGAAACUGGGGCUAAUACCGGAUAGGAGCUCCUGCUGCAUGGUGGGGGUUGGAAAGUUUCGGCGGUUGGGGAUGGACUCGCGGCUUAUCAGCUUGUUGGUGGGGUAGUGGCUUACCAAGGCUUUGACGGGUAGCCGGCCUGGGAGGGUGACCGGCCACAUUGGGACUGAGAUACGGCCCAGACUGCUACGGGAGGCAGCAGUGGAGAAUAUUGCACAAUGGGCGGAAGCCUGAUGCAGCAACGCCGCGUGCGGGAUGACGGCCUUCGGGUUGUAAACCGCUUUCGCCUGUGACGAAGCGUGAGUGACGGUAAUGGGUAAAGAAGCACCGGCUAACUACGUG